AGAAGAGCUUGCUCUUGCUGACGAGUGGCGGACGGGUGAGUAACGUAUGGGGAUCUGCCGAAUGGAGGGGGACAACAGUUGGAAACGACUGCUAAUACCGCAUAAUGUCGCGAGACCAAAGCAUGGGACCUUAUGGCCAUGCGCCAUUUGAUGAACCCAUAAGGGAUUAGCUAGUAGGUGAGGUAAUGGCUCACCUAGGCGACGAUCUCUAGCUGGUCUGAGAGGAUGACCAGCCACACUGGGACUGAGACACGGCCCAGACUCCUACGGGAGGCAGCAGUGGGGAAUAUUGCACAAUGGGGGAAACCCUGAUGCAGCCAUGCCGCGUGUAUGAAGAAGGCCUUCCGGUUGUAAAGUACUUUCGGUAGCGAGGAAGGGGUUAUAUCUAAUAGGUGUAACCAUUGACGUUAACUACAGAAUAACCACCGGCUAACUCCGUGCCAGCAGCCGCGGUAAUACGGAGGGUGCGAGCGUUAAUCGGAAUGACUGGGCGUAAAGGGCAUGUAUGCGGAUAGUUAAGUUAGGUGUGAAAGCCCCGGGCUUUCCCUGGGAAUUGCAUUUAUCACUGGUUAUCUGGGAUAUUGUAGAGGAAGGUACAGUUCCAUGUGUAGCGAAUGAAAUGCUGUAGAUGAUGUUGUGAUCUACCACGUGGUAAAGCGUCCUGUCUGAUCAAAUACUGAUGCU
rnacentral:rRNA from 1 species